CACGUAGGGGGCGAGCGUUGUCCGGAUUUAUUGGGCGUAAAGAGCUCGUAGGCGGCUCGGUAAGUCGGGUGUGAAACCUCCAGGCUCAACCUGGAGACGCCACCUGAUACUGCUGUGGCUAGAGUCCGGUAGGGGAGUGUGGAACUCCUGGUGUAGCGGUGAAAUGCGCAGAUAUCAGGAAGAACACCAGCGGCGAAGGCGGCACUCUGGGCCGGAACUGACGCUGAGGAGCGAAAGCGUGGGUA
rnacentral:rRNA from 1 species